rnacentral:miRNA from 1 species
UGGGGAGGGCGGUCAGCGCGCG